rnacentral:rRNA from 1 species
CCUACGGGAGGCAGCAGUGGGGAAUCUUGCGCAAUGGGCGAAAGCCUGACGCAGCAGCGCCGCGUGCGGGAUGACGGCCUUCGUGGUUGUAAACCGCUUUCAGCAGGGACGAAAAUGACGGUACCUGCAGAAGAAGCCCCGGCUAACUACGUGCCAGCAGCCGCGGUAAUACGUAGGGGGCAAGCGUUGUCCGGAUUCAUUGGGCGUAAAGAGCUCGUAGGCGGUUCAGUAAGUCGGGUGUGAAAGCUCCGAGCUCAACUCGGAGAGGCCACCCGAUACUGCUGUGACUUGAGUCCAGUAGAGGAGCGUGGAACUCCUGGUGUAGCGGUGGAAUGCGCAGAUAUCAGGAAGAACACCUGCAGCGAAGGCGGCGCUCUGGGCUGGAACUGACGCUGAGGAGCGAAAGCGUGGGUAGCAAACAGGAUUAGAUACCCUGGUAGUCCACGCCGUAAACGUUGGGCACUAGGUGUGGGGAGCCGUCAACGCUCUCUGUGCCGUAGCUAACGCAUUAAGUGCCCCGCCUGGGGAGUACGGCCGCAAGGCUAAAACUCAAAUGAAUUGACGG